rnacentral:pre_miRNA from 13 species
UGUCCACAACUGUGUGACCUGUGGGUUUCCCUUUGUCAUCCUAUGCCUGGGAGUAUCAGUGAGGCAGGGGGGACAAAGGGGUGCUCAGCUGUCAACUCCAAC